CGUCGCCUUCGACCGGAUCCCUCUUUUCUGAUCGGAGGAGCUUGACGAGGGGGCGGGCUGCAGGUCACGCAGGACAUCUGCCAGUGGCCCACUGUAGGAUUUCUGCUGGGUUCUGGGAUCGCUGAUAACGCGUACGUGUAUCUGUGAAACAUGGCCUAGCUGUGAACUUACCCAGUGAUACACGAUCUGCAGUGGCUUCUCGAUUUAACCAGAAGGAGACCCAAGAUAAGACCACGAGUAAAACACAGGGCCCGUAUACUUGUAUAAGAAAAUUACCCAUAUGCCUUUGCAGAUGAAAAUAUACCAGCAACAUCGAAUAUUCCGCUGUAAUCAGAUAAUACAUUCAAUACGUAAUACAGAAAAAGUGAAAAUCUAGGGCAGUCCGAUAAACUAUUCUGUAUGGUUAUAGGUGAGCCACAAGAUUGGCAUUCAGGAGAUGAUUGUUUUGUUAACAACUACUCGUGCGUAAGUCUGGAAUGGUCGGUGCGAAUGCGGGUGAGGACGGCUUAGUUCUGAUUAGCGUUGAGACGUCGGGAAUCUCUUGCACGCUAGGUCCUACUGUGCGAAGUUUUGUAUGGGGAUUGUUGAGCCAUAAACAGUUCUAAAAUUUGCUAACGGCUCCUUUGAUAACGGUUUUAGCAUCGUGAAAAUUAGGCCUGAUUUUUCUUCACGGUGAAUAAGUUUUGAUAACCUCUUGAUUUCUACAUGACUGGGAAUCUAUAUCAAUUUGACGCUAUACUGUUUAUUUCAAUGAUCGAAUGGAUUUCUAUUUAUGAUGCUACGUGUUAAGGCGUUUUCGAUGGAUAAAGAAGGAGUUUCGCAGGAUAAAGAAGAGAAGGUAUAAUCUGCGUGUAGAAGUAAAAUUGUUUCUAACAAAUAUUUAUUAUAUUGCCCUUAAAAUUUUGUUACAAUAUAAUAGUAAAUAUAUAGAACCUAAUCUGUCCUCUUUUCCUUGUUAUACUAUAAUCCACAUUUGUAAUCUAUCUUUUAUGCUUCGAAUGAAAAAAAGAGAAAGAGGAUUACAUGCCAAUAUAAUGCAAUUUCACUCAUAAAACUAAUAAAUCGAAUUAAUUCAAUAUUCCACGAUUCUUUUCGUUCGGUCCACCUUCAGCUAUUGUUCGAUAUGUAUAUAAUAUUUAUCUUCCACUCGUUUCAAUUUUCAUCUGUAGUUGAGUUCGACAUCGAAUAUCAACAAGGUUCAACGGGAAUCGAAAUCAAACAGGGUCGCGAUCAUUAGUUUCUUCGGUUACGCACAAACCAUAUUCUAGCGUCCAACGUAGCAGCUAGUUGCUCUGUUUGUCCUGCACUUUUCCCUCGAUAACGAGUACAAUGUACAAGGAACAACCGUAUCAAACAUCAACCUGUAUUGUCUCUUUCUAUUUUCUGCGUAUUAUCCCUGGCAUCUGUUUCGAUUUGUCCAACGCAAACAGAAACGAUGUCAUGCAUACACGCGAAUGUUUGCGCCACGUUCACAGAUCCUUAAAAAAUUCUUACUACCCUAUUGAUGCAAUCAAUCAAAUCAAAACAGUGACGACGCGACGAUUGUUUGCGGAGUAUUAAUCGAUGCUAAUCCAAUUAAAAGUGGAAGUAGUUGCGAGUCGGCAUCUCCUCUCUCGUUUCUCGUUAUCAGCCGAUGGAAAUACAAGAGGGACGAGAGUUUUCUGCAGGAGGAUGCUGCAAUUAGUCGUCGUUUCUUCCGUUGCCAACUUUCAACGUGGAACCUCUUUUCCUCAUCCUCCUUCUCCUGUUUCAUCCCCUAUCCUCUUCCAUUGCUUCUCCUCCAUCUUUUCCUUUUUCUUUACGUCGUCGUUUUCUCGCACCACUUGUCCGUCCGCUCGAAUUCCACCCACUUCCGGGCUGAUUCAUUCGUACCUUCGAUAUUCCUGUAGAAUCCGUAAGCGUGGCCCGAUAAAAGUUUCCAAUCGAGUUCCUUUGCAGUCGUUAAGAGACAAUUCCUUCCUCUCGUUUCUCUAAUUCGGACAAGCCUUAGCCACCGACAUUCUUCGACGACUCUUAUCGUGGCUAUACUUUCUCUUUCGAUUAUACUUCCGUCGUCUAUCUUUUCCUUCCUCGGUUUGAUCCUUGGUACAUCGCGUCGUCGAUAAGGAUUUUUCGCUGAAAUCUAUUCUUAAAUGGAGUUUCCUUUCACGGGUUAUCGCCUAGCGUACAAGUACGGUUCUUUAGG